GGAAGGAGAUAGCUCAAUUGGUAGAGCACUGCUGGAAAGCAGGGGUUACGGGUCCGAGUCCCGUGAUCUUUCCU
rnacentral:tRNA from 1 species